GAUGAACGCUAGCUACAGGCUUAACACAUGCAAGUCGAGGGGCAGCGGGAUUGAAGCUUGCUUCAAUUGCCGGCGACCGGCGCACGGGUGAGUAGCGCGUAUCCAACCUUCCGUACACUCAGGGAUAGCCUUUCGAAAGAAAGAUUAAUACCUGAUGGUAUCUUAAGCACACAUGUAAUUAAGAUUAAAGAUUUAUCGGUGUACGAUGGGGAUGCGUUCCAUUAGGUAGUAGGCGGGGUAACGGCCCACCUAGCCAACGAUGGAUAGGGGUUCUGAGAGGAAGGUCCCCCACAUUGGAACUGAGACACGGUCCAAACUCCUACGGGAGGCAGCAGUGAGGAAUAUUGGUCAAUGGACGAGAGUCUGAACCAGCCAAGUAGCGUGAAGGAUGACUGCCCUAUGGGUUGUAAACUUCUUUUAUACGGGAAUAAAGUGAGGCACGUGUGCCUUUUUGUAUGUACCGUAUGAAUAAGGAUCGGCUAACUCCGUGCCAGCAGCCGCGGU
rnacentral:rRNA from 1 species